AGUGAACGCUGGCGGCAUGCCUAACACAUGCAAGUCGAACGGCCGGACAGUAAGAUCUUGCCCCUAAGGGUGGCGGCUGGCGGGCGGGUGACGCAUACAUCGGCAUCUACUUUUUCGUGGGGGACAACGUAGGGCAACUUCUGCUACUACAGCAUACGACCUACCGGUUAAAGCAGUAGUUCAUCGCACCUUUCCCGUUUGAAUGAGCCGAUGUCGGAUUAGCUAGUUGGCGAGGUAAAGUCCCACCAAGGCGACGAUCCGUAGCUGAUCUGAGAGGAUGAUCAGCCACACUGGAACUGAGACACGGUCCAGACUCCUACGGGAGGCAGCAGUAGGGAAUAUUGGGCAAUGGGCGCAAGCCUGACGCAGCCACACCGCGUGGGUGAAGAAGGCCUUCGGGUUGUAAAGCUCUGUUAUUAGGAAAGAAAAGCAGUAGGUUAAACCACGCCCGUUCUGACGGUACCCAAUGAGAAAGCCACGGCUAACUUCGUG
rnacentral:rRNA from 1 species